rnacentral:lncRNA from 1 species
UGUGCGUCCUAGGUGCCCGUGCUCCGCACACUCUUGGCUGCUGACCUCAAGGGUUUCCAGUACUUUACCACUCUGGAGGAGGCAGAGAAAUCCCUGCAGCAGGAACCAGGGACUCAGCCUUACAGCAUCCGUGAAGACACUGCCCCAGAGCACAGGAGCUCCCUACUGAAGUCUCCCUCGGGCCCCUGAACGGCAGCUGGUAUAGGAAGGGUCUCUGGAAGGUUCUGUCGCUGUGACUUGGUGUCACCUGAUAGACUCACCAACCUGGCGGGACUGAAAUGGCUCUAGGGAAGAGCAGGGAGCCAUGUGUGAUUCCGGGGUGUCCCCUAGGUGUGAGUAUUUGAGGGGUGGGGUGGCUAGACAGUCUUCCAGAGAGAGAGAGAGAGAGACCAAGAAAGGUGGGGAAUCAUGUCUUUUGGCCUGGGCUGGCAGGGUAAGCUGGCAUUUUCCAGAUCUCAAGUCCUUCUUUGGAAUCAGACCCUACCAGAGAAGAGUCAGAGAGACCGGGCAUCUCAGAGAUGUGUCUGACCAUGGCGUGAAGACGAACCUGAGCUGAAGAGGCGACCACAGUGUGCCACACAAGGUCAAUUCUGUUUAAAAUCACGUGUUUUGAAGUGGAAGUCACUCUGGUGUUUUUGUAAAGCAAUACGAACACUAAUCCUUGGCUUUUU